UACGUAGGGGGCAAGCGUUGUCCGGAAUCAUUGGGCGUAAAGAGCGUGUAGGCGGUCCGGUAAGUCGGCUGUGAAAGUCCAGGGCUCAACCCUGGGAUGCCGGUCGAUACUGCCGGACUAGAGUCCGGAAGAGGCAAGUGGAAUUCCCGGUGUAGCGGUGAAAUGCGCAGAUAUCGGGAGGAACACCAAUGGCGAAGGCAGCUUGCUGGGACGUUACUGACGCUGAGACGCGAAAGCGUGGGGAGCAAACAGG
rnacentral:rRNA from 1 species